rnacentral:tRNA from 2 species
UCCGCUGUGGUGUAACGGCAGCACUGAGGGUUUUGGUCCCUUAAGUCCGGGUUCGAAUCCUGGCAGCGGAG